UACAGAGGGUGCGAGCGUUAAUCGGAAUUACUGGGCGUAAAGCGCGCGUAGGCGGCUUUGCAAGUCGGGCGUGAAAUCCCCAGGCUUAACCUGGGAACUGCAUUCGAGACUGCAUUGCUAGAGUAUGGGAGAGGGAAGUGGAAUUUCCGGUGUAGCGGUGAAAUGCGUAGAUAUCGGAAGGAACAUCAGUGGCGAAAGCGGCUUCCUGGACCAAUACUGACGCUCAUGUGCGAAAGCGUGGGGAGCAAACAGG
rnacentral:rRNA from 1 species